rnacentral:tRNA from 1 species
GCGAGAGUGGCGGAAUUGGUAGACGCACCAGAUUUAGGAUCUGGCGGUUAACCCCGUGGGGGUUCGAGUCCCCCCUUUCGCA